AGGACGAACGCUGGCGGCGUGCUUAACACAUGCAAGUCGAGCGGUAAGGCCUUUCGGGGUACACGAGCGGCGAACGGGUGAGUAACACGUGGGUGAUCUGCCCUGCACUUCGGGAUAAGCCUGGGAAACUGGGUCUAAUACCGGAUAUGACCUGCUCUCGCAGUGGGGGUGGGUGGAAAGAUUUAUCGGUGCAGGAGUGGGCCCGCGGCCUAUCAGCUUGUUGGGUGGGGUAAUGGCCUACCAAGGCGACGACGGGUA
rnacentral:rRNA from 1 species